GGGUCAGCAAGUUGGUCGUGCCACUGGUAUGCACUGGCUUUGCUGAUUCCUCCUUCUUGUAGAACCGUAAUGCCAUUCAGUUGGUGUUGCGGGGAAACAGGACUUUUACUUUGAAAAAAUUAGAGUGUUUAAAGCAGGCAUUCGCUUGAAUACAUUAGCAUGGAAUAAUAAAAUAGGACU
rnacentral:rRNA from 1 species